rnacentral:rRNA from 1 species
UACAGAGGUGGCAAGCGUUGUUCGGAAUUACUGGGCGUAAAGGGCUCGUAGGCGGUUUGUCGCGUCGGGAGUGAAAACCCAGGGCUUAACCCUGGGCUGGCUUCCGAUACGGGCAGACUAGAGGUAGGCAGGGGGAGAGCGGAACUCCUGGUGUAGCGGUGGAAUGCGCAGAUAUCAGGAAGAACACCGGUGGCGAAGGCGGCUCUCUGGGCCUUACCUGACGCUGAGGAGCGAAAGCGUGGGUAGCGAACAGG